rnacentral:lncRNA from 1 species
UCGCUGAGGCGCCGCCCGCAGCUCCCGGUAGGCGACGGCGGCGGCAGCGGGGCGGACAACCGCUCUCAGGCUCCAGCGGCGCCGGGCGCGGAGGAAGCGGCGGUGACGGCCGGGGGGGGCGCCGAGGCACCGGGGGGGGGGAAGCUCCCCUCGGCGGAGCUUUCCGUCGCCUUUUAACUGCAAAAGUGUGUUCCCGAAACGCAGCAUUUACUAGCUGUGUACUUCUUAAAUAUUUAUAUAUAAGAAAUAUACUUCUUAUAUAUGUAUAAAAAAUACUUUUUAUAUAUAUAAAUAUAUAAAAAACUGUUAAAAAGCCAUAGUAUUAAAAUAUACCCAGGAGAAUACCUGUCAUCAAGGAGAAAUAAAGACGAGAGGAGGAAAGGCCGAACCACGCGUCUCCGUGUUGUCUCCACGUCGCGCUACGUUUGCAAGUGGCACCGGGAUCCGGUCGCGAGCUCACAGCGGCCACCCAAGGGCAGCUCCAGGCCUGCUAUCCGCUGCGUUUUCCCCCCCCGGUUCCAGCAUAAAUAACCCGGCUGUCAAAUGAGGAAACAGACAAACAGAUUAAAUGACCUAUCCAAAACCCCUAGCAAGUCGGUGGCCAAGACAUGAGUACAGCCGAGAAACCCAGCUCGCGUCCUUUGCUCUAAUCAGAGAAAAUAGCUCUCACUCACUGUCUGCGUGUGCAGGAGAGAUCUACGGUGCAGAGGAAUUUUGCUUCCAGUGCAUGUCAACAACCACUGACACCAUAACAGCGAUUCCUUUUGCUGAUAGCGUGGAUGCAGGGGUCACCAAGCAUGCACUUUGUCUCACGUCACCAGGCCGUGCAACACCACGACACAAUGCUCCAGAGGAUGCAGCGUCCUUGCCAGGGUUCAGACCAUGA